GACAGACGGAAAUGAUAAGAAAUGUUUCUGCUUGUCUCGACGUUUUGCAUUCUGCUUUGGAUAACAAGUAAUUGCAAUGCCUUUUCUGUAAUGCAGUCGCAGAAGUUUGUCAGCAGAAAGCCUGAUGAGGCUGUUGUCCUCUCGUGUGAGCAUGACGGGGACAGCAGCAGCUAUAACUACUACAUCUACUGGUACCAACAGCUCCGGGGUCGUGGUGGGCUGCAGCUCAUGACAUAUUCCUACACCGACAACGCACCUAACUAUGAACAGGAAUUCAAAGGAAGACUGAUCACCACCAGAGACGGCAACAACAAAAGCAACAUCACAAUCAACAGUCUAAACGUUACCGACACCGGAAUGUAUUUCUGUGCAGCAAGCACUGCACAGCGAGGCAGCUCCCCUAGAGACCUAACAGAAAACUCCCAGCUGGUGCUGCUAGUAAAUUUAAAACAACUUAUAACACACAGGAAAAUAAUGGCUCUGCACCAACUGCGAACUGCAUCUCCUGUUUAAAAGGAAAAACAAAUGUCUUUACAGCUCCAACUACACAAACCGGGGUCGACUGCAUUUCUUACUUAAGUGUUUAUUUUCAUACCCC